rnacentral:rRNA from 1 species
GUCCACACCCUAAACGAUGAUAACUCGAUGUUGGCGAUACACAGUCAGCGUCUAAGCGAAAGCAUUAAGUUAUCCACCUGGGAAGUACGACCGCAAGGUUGAAACUCAAAGGAAUUGACGGGGGCCCGCACAAGCGGAGGAGCAUGUGGUUUAAUUCGAUGAUACGCGAGGAACCUUACCUGGGCUUGAAAGUUAGUGACCGUCCCUGAAAGGGGACUUUCAGCAAUGACACGAAACUAGGUGCUGCAUGGCUGUCGU